GAUGAACGCUAGCUACAGGCUUAACACAUGCAAGUCGAGGGGUAGCACGGAGGAAGCUUGCUUCCUUGGGUGACGACCGGCGCACGGGUGAGUAACGCGUAUCCGACCUACCCAUAACACGGGCACAGCCGCUCGAAAGAGUGAUUGAUUCCCGAUAUGUUAUAUAAGUAGAUUAUAUAAUGAAAGAUUUAUCGGUUAUGGAUGGGGAUGCGUAAGAUUAGGUAGUAGGCGGGGUAACGGCCCACCUAGCCGACGAUCUUUAGGGUUCUGAGAGGAAGGUCCCCCACACUGGUACUGAGACACGGACCAGACUCCUACGGGAGGCAGCAGUGAGGAAUAUUGGUCAAUGGGCGGAAGCCUGAACCAGCCAAGUAGCGUGAAGGAUUACAGCCCUACGGGUUUUAAACUUCUUUUAUAUAAGAGUAAUGUGCACUACGUGUAGUGUAUUGCAAGUAUUAUAUGAAUAAGCAUCGGCUAACUCCGUG
rnacentral:rRNA from 1 species